rnacentral:rRNA from 1 species
AAAAACAUGUCUUUUUGGUUAUUUAAUAUAAAGUCUAGCCUGCCCACUGAAUUUAAUUUUGAAGGGCCGCAGUAUUUUGACUGUGCAAAGGUAGCAUAAUCAUUAGUCUUUUAAUUGGAGGCUGGUAUGAAUGGUUGGAUGAGGUACAAGCUGUGUCAUAAAAAUUAAUAUUUGAAUUUAACUUUUUAGUCAAAAGGCUAAAAUUAAAUUAAAAGACGAGAAGACCCUAUAGAGCUUUAUAUAAUAAUUAUUUAAUUUAUUAAGAUUUAUUAAAUUUAAUUAUUUGAUUAUAUUUUGUUGGGGUGACAGUAAAAUUAAAAAAACUUUUAUUAUUAAUUUACAUUUAUUUAUGGUUAAAUGAUCCAGUUUUAUUGAUUAUAAAUUUAAGUUACCUUAGGGAUAACAGCGUAAUUUUUUUUGAGAGUUCUUAUCGACAAAAAAGAUUGCGACCUCGAUGUUGGAUUAAGAGUAAUUUUGGG